GGUUGUGGCUCAGUGGUAGAGCACUUGCCUAGCAUGUACUAGGCACUGGGGUCGAUUCCCGGGGAACCA
rnacentral:tRNA from 1 species